rnacentral:tRNA from 1 species
GGGGGUGUGGCUCAGUGUAGAGCAAUUGCCUAGCAUGUGCAAGGCCCGGGUUCUGGGUUCAAUCCCCAGCAUGUCUU